rnacentral:rRNA from 1 species
CUGCUGCCUUCCGUAGGAGUUUGGGCCGUGUCUCAGUCCCAAUGUGGCCGGUCGCCCUCUCAGGUCGGCUACUGAUCGUCGGCUUGGUAGGCUUCUACCCCACCAACUACCUAAUCAGACGCGGGCCCAUCUUACACCACCUCAGUUUUUACCACUGUACCAUGCAGUACCGUGGUCUUAUGCGGUAUUAGCAAUCAUUUCUAAUUGUUAUCCCCCUGUGUAAGGCAGGUUUCNCCGCGUACGUCACCGUCCGUCCCGACCGUACUACGUA